CGCACAUUGCGCCCCUUGGUAUUCCGGGGGGCAUACCCGUUCGAGCGUCAUUUCACCAAUCAAGCCUGGCUUGGUAUUGGGCCACGGGCGUCGACCCGGGCUUCAAAGUUGUCGGCUGGAAAGCUCUAAUCUCAGCGUCGUGGUUUAUUCAAAUUCGCUGACGAGAUGAGAAUUUCGGCCGUUAAACAUUUUUCACAGGUUGACCUCGGAUCGGGUAGGGAUACCCGCUGAACUUAA
rnacentral:misc_RNA from 1 species